CCCUUAGACGUUCUGGGCCGCACGCGCGCUACACUGACGAAGGCAACGAGCUUUCCUUUACCGAAAGGUACGGGUAAUCUUUUGAAACUUCGUCGUGCUGGGGAUAGGUCCUUGCAAUUUUUGAUCUUAAACGAGGAAUGCCUAGUAAGCGCAAGUCAUCAACUUGCGUUGAUUACGUCCCUGCCCUUUGUACACACCGCCCGUCGCUACUACCGAUUGAAUGGUUUAGUGAGGCCUUCGGAUCCGCGACUCGUUUGUGGAGAAGUUGGACAAACUCAGUCAUUUAGAGGAAGUAAAAGUCGUAACA
rnacentral:rRNA from 1 species